rnacentral:rRNA from 1 species
GACGAACGCUGGCGGCGUGCUUAACACAUGCAAGUCGAACGGAAAGGCCCUGCUUUUGUGGGGUGCUCGAGUGGCGAACGGGUGAGUAACACGUGAGUAACCUGCCCUUGACUUUGGGAUAACUUCAGGAAACUGGGGCUAAUACCGGAUAGGAGCUCCUGCUGCACGGUGGGGGUUGGAAAGUUUCGGCGGUUGGGGAUGGACUCGCGGCUUAUCAGCUUGUUGGUGGGGUAGUGGCUUACCAAGGCUUUGACGGGUAGCCGGCCUGGGAGGGUGACCGGCCACAUUGGGACUGAGAGACGGCCCAGACUCCUACGGGAGGCAGCAGUGGGGAAUAUUGCACAAUGGGCGGAAGCCUGAUGCAGCAACGCCGCGUGCGGGAUGACGGCCUUCGGGUUGUAAACCGCUUUCGCCUGUGACGAAGCGUGAGUGACGGUAAUGGGUAAAGAAGCACCGGCUAACUACGUG